UGCUUUGUGGCACGGCGCAUUAUCCUGCUGAAAGAGGCCACAGAGCCAUCAGGAAAUACCGUUUCCAUGAAAGGGUGUUCAUUGUCUGCAACAAUACUUGCCUUCUUCCCAUAGUGCAUCCUGGUGUCAUGUGUUCCCUAGAAACUGGUAUGGUUACCGAUUGAGCUUGAAGUCUAAGAUCUCUGCUGUGUGACCACGGUAUUCUGCAACCAUUUUUCCUGAGCGAGCGUCCCACAAAGUCACAGCUCCACCCAGAUUACAGGUAGCCACCACUGCCGAGGCCUCCUCCCACUGAAGAUGGACAAUCCCUACCUGAGGGUCCCCCUUGUGUACCAAAACAGCUCUGACCUGUCGAGCCAUGGACUCCACAAUUCUCGGAAUGUGUGGCACCAAGACAUUAGCAGCUUAAAUCCUUUAAGUCCUGGAAGUUGUGAAGUGGGGACUUCAUGGAUCAGAAUUGUUUGUCCAACACACAAAUGCUUGAUCAAAUUAAGAUCUGAGUCA